CAAAUCCAAAUCUUUUGUUUCUUUGCCUACAUAUUUCACACAUGAACUUCUUUUAAAAUUAUCCUUCAAGUUAAAAUCUUUACCAUCUGAACUCAACCCCAGACCUAAACAAAAGUCCUUCUCAUUCAUAGGGACAAGUUUAUCUCCAAUUAAAAAAGAACCACCGGAAUCCACCCACUUAACCACUAAGUCACUCAAUAUAUUCCUCCCUAUUCUAACUUUAGAACUCAAAUCUAAGAACCAACGAAAAGGAGUAUCUGAAAUCACU
rnacentral:lncRNA from 1 species